rnacentral:rRNA from 1 species
AUACGGGAGGCAGCAGUGAGGAAUAUUGGUCAAUGGGCGGAAGCCUGAACCAGCCAUGCCGCGUGCAGGAAGACGGCCCUACGGGUUGUAAACUGCUUUUCCGGGGGAAGAAUAAGGGCGACGUGUCGCCCGAUGCCGGUACCCCGGGAAUAAGGAUCGGCUAACUCCGUGCCAGCAGCCGCGGUAAUACGGAGGAUCCGAGCGUUAUCCGGAUUUACUGGGUUUAAAGGGUGCGUAGGCGGGCGCUUAAGUCAGCGGUGAAAUACGGGGGCUCAACCUUCGAACGGCCGUUGAUACUGGGCGCCUUGGAUUCGGUCGAGGCGGGCGGAAUGCGACAUGUAGCGGUGAAAUGCUUAGAUAUGUCGCAGAACGCCGAUUGCGAAGGCAGCUCGCCAGGCCGACAUUGACGCUGAGGCACGAAAGCGUGGGGAUCGAACAGGAUUAGAUACCCGAGUAGUCG